CAGUCGCCGCGGGAAUACGGAGGGUGCAAGCGUUAAUCGGAAUUACUGGGCGUUAAGCGCACGCAGGCGGUCUGACAAGUCAGAUGUGAAAUCCCCGGGCUUAACCUGGGAACUGCAUUUGAAACUGUCAGGCUGGAGUCUUGUAGAGGGGGGUGGAAUUCCAGGUGUAGCGGUGAAAUGCGUAGAGAUCUGGAGGAAUACCGGUGGCGAAGGCGGCCCCCUGGACAAAGACUGACGCUCAGGUGCGAAAGCGUGGGGAGCAAACAGGAUUAGAUACCCCUGUAGUCCCUGUCUCUUAUAC
rnacentral:rRNA from 1 species